GAUGAAGAACGUAGUGAAAUGAGAUAAGUAAUGCGAAUUGCAGAAUUUCCGUGAGUCAUCGAAUCUUUGAACGCACAUUGCGCCCACUGGUAUUCCGGUGGGCAUGCCUGUUCGAGCGUCAUUAUCCUCCCUCAAACCCCGGGUUUGGUGUUGGACCCAAGUUGUGUGAACAACUGGUCUCAAAGACAAUGACGGCGUCCGUGGGACCCUCGGUGCAACGAGCUUUUAGGAGCACGCGCCGAGUUGCAAGGACCUUCCGGGCCGGUCUCCUUUACUAUUUUACAAGGUUGACCUCGGAUCAGGUAGGAAUACCCGCUGAACUUAAGCAUAUCAAUAAGCGGAGGA
rnacentral:misc_RNA from 1 species